UAACCUGGUUGAUCUUGCCAGUAGUCAUAUGCUUGUCUUAAAGAUUAAGCCAUGCAAGUGAAAGUACACAUGAAUAAUAAUUUAUCGAAACUGCGAACGGCUCAUUAAAACAGUUAUAAUCUACUUGACAUUUAUAUUAUAAGGAUAACUACGGAAAAUCUGUAGCUAAUACUUGUAAAAAUAUCUUAUGAUAUGUAUAUAUAUAUAUAUAUAUGUAUGUAUCAUUAAGAUAUGUAUUUGUUAGAUGUAAGAAGUAAAUAAAAUAAAUAUAAAUUGAAUUAUAACAAAGAAAGAACACGUAUACGUACGUGAAUAUCAAUCGAGUAUCUGACCUAUCAGCUUUUGAUGUUAGGGUAUUGACCUAACAUGGCUAUGACGGGUAACGGGGAAUUAGAGUUCGAUUCCGGAGAGGGAGCCUGAGAAAUAGCUACCACAUCUAAGGAAGGCAGCAGGCGCGUAAAUUACCCAAUUCUGAAGAAGAGAGGUAGUGACAAGAAAUAACAAUACAUUAUCGAAGAAUGAUUUUGUAAUUGGAAUGAUAGGGAAUUAUAACAUUUCUAGAGAAACAAUUGGAGGGCAAGUCUGGUGCCAGCAGCCGCGGUAAUUCCAGCUCCAAUAGCAUAUAUUAAAAUUGUUGCAGUUAAAACGUUCGUAGUUGAAUAUUAAAGAAUCCGAUGUUUCAUUUAAACUGGUUUUGGGAAACUACAUAUAUAUAUAUAUUUAUAUAUAUAUAUAUUGUUUAAUAUAAGUUUCCCGUAUAAAAUUAUGUUUUUAUCAGAUAUGACAGAGUCUUUUUUAAAAUCUGUUCAUUUUGCUUUUAUUGCAUUUUGAGAGAUUUUGUUACUUUGAGUAAAAUUAAGUGUUCAUAACAGACGGCUAUACUUUGAUUGAGGUGUUCAGGGUGUUUGAAUACUACAGCAUGGAAUAACAAAUAUGAAUAAGCUAAUUUAAUUUUUUAUUAUUUUUUUGGAUAUUCUUAUUAGCUUAGUUACGGUUAAUAGGAGUAGUUUUGGGGGCAUUCGUAUUCAGAUGUCAGAGGUGAAAUUCUAAGAUUUUCUGGAGACGGACUACUGCGAAAGCAUUUGCCUAAUCUAUUUCCAUUAAUCAAGAACGAAAGUUAAGGGAGUGAAGACGAUCAGAUACCGUCGUAAUCUUAACCAUAAACUAUACCGACUAGGUGUUGGAUGAAUAUAAAAAAUAUAUAUAAAAUAUUAAUAUUUCUUAGGGAUUAUUGAUUUUAUAUAUUAGAUUGCUUCCUUCAGUACCUUAUGAGAAAUCAAAGUCUUUGGGUUCUGGGGCGAGUAUUCGCGCAAGCGAGAAAGUUAAAAGAAUUGACGGAAGGGCACCACCAGGCGUGGAGCUUGCGGCUUAAUUUGACUCAACACGGGAAAACUCACUAGUUUAAGACAAGAGUAGGAUUGACAGAUUAAUAGCUCUUUCUUGAUUUCUUGGAUGGUGAUGCAUGGCCGUUUUUAGUUCGUGAAUAUGAUUUGUCUGGUUAAUUCCGAUAACGAACGAGAUCUUAACCUGCUAAUUAGCGGCAAGUACACCAUAUUUUUAUUUGAAAUUGAUUUUAGGUAAUUAGUAUAAUUAUUUUAUGUGUACAAAUUAGAAUAUUUUUAUUAAAAUAUUCUUUUCCCUGUUCUAUACUAAUAUUUUAUUUUUUUACUCUAUUUCUUUUUUCUUUUAAGAAUGUACUUGUUUGAUUGAAAAAGCUUCUUAGAGGAACAUUGUGUAUCUAACACAAGGAAGUUUAAGGCAACAACAGGUCUGUGAUGUCCUUAGAUAAACUAGGCUGCACGCGUGCUACAAUGAUAUAUAUAACAAGUUAUUAAAAUAUAUACAUAUAUAUAUUUGUAUCUUGUGAUACUUAGUAAAUAAUUUUGUAUAUUUUUUCCUUUGCUGAAAAGUAUAGGUAAUCCAAUCAAUAUAUAUCGUAACUGGGAUAGAUUAUUGCAAUUAUUAAUCUUGAACGAGGAAUGCCUAGUAAGCAUGAUUCAUUAGAUUGUGCUGACUACGUCCCUGCCCUUUGUACACACCGCCCGUCGCUCCUACCGAUUGAAAGAUAUGAUGAAUUGUUUGGAUAUGAAUUAAAACAUGAAAUUUUAUAUUUCUGAUUUUUUCUAGAAGAACUGUAAAUCCUGUCUUUUAAAGGAAGGAGAAGUCGUAACAAGGUUUCCGUAGGUGAACCUGCGGAAGGAUCAUUA